rnacentral:rRNA from 1 species
UGGUCUUGACAUAGAAAGAACUUUCCAGAGAUGGAUUGGUGCCUGCUUGCAGGAGCUUUCAUACAGGUGCUGCACGGCUGUCGUCAGCUCGUGUCGUGAGAUGUUGGGUUAAGUCCCGCAACGAGCGCAACCCUCGUCGUUAGUUGCUAACAGUUCGGCUGAGAACUCUAACGAGACUGCCUACGCAAGUAGGAGGAAGGUGAGGACGACGUCAAGUCAUCAUGGCCCUUACGACCAGGGCUACACACGUGCUACAAUGGGGUAUACAAAGAGCAGCAAUACGGUGACGUGGAGCGAAUCUCAAAAAUGCCUCCCAGUUCGGAUUGUAGUCUGCAACUCGACUACAUGAAGUUGGAAUCGCUAGUAAUCGUAGAUCAGCUAUGCUACGGUGAAUACGUUCCCGGGUCU